CUUGGUCAUUUAGAGGAAGUAAAAGCCGUAACAAGGUUUCCCGUUGGUGAACCAGCGGAAGGAUCCAUUACGGAGAUAUGCCCUUCGGGGUAGACCUCCCACCCUGUAAGAAUUUACCUCUUGUUGCUUUGGCAGGCCGCCCUCGGGCCCCCGGCACUCGUUGCUGGGGAGCCGCCUGCCAGAGAACCCUAACUCUUGGUGUUUAGUGUCGUCUGAGUACUAUAUAAUAAGUUAAAACUUUCAACAACGGAUCUCUUGGUUCUGGCAUCGAUGAAGAACGCAGCGAAAUGCGAUAAGUAAUGUGAAUUGCAGAAUUCAGUGAAUCAUCGAAUCUUUGAACGCACAUUGCGCCCCUUGGUAUUCCGGGGGGCAUGCCUGUUCGAGCGUCAUUUCAACCCUCAAGCCUAGCUUGGUCUUGGGCUCUGCCGGCAACGGCUGGCCUUAAAAUCAGUGGCGGUGCCAUCGAGCUCUACGCGUAGUAAUUAAACCCUCGCGUGUGAGUCCCGGUGGACGCUUGCCAGCAACCCCUAAUUUUCUAUGGUUGACCUCGGAUCAGGUAGGGAUACCCGCUGAACUUAAGCAUAUCAAUAAGCGGAGGA
rnacentral:rRNA from 1 species